CGUGUAGGCGGCUUGACAAGUCAGAUGUGAAAUCCCUGGGCUUAACCCAGGAAGUGCAUUUGAAACUGUUUGGCUGGAGUAAGGGAGAGGAAAGUGGAAUUCCUGGUGUAGAGGUGAAAUUCGUAGAUAUCAGGAGGAACACCGGUGGCGAAGGCGACUUUCUGGCCCUAUACUGACGCUGAGACGCGAAAGCGUGGGUAGCAAAACA
rnacentral:rRNA from 1 species